UGGGGAAUCUUGCGCAAUGGGCGAAAGCCUGACGCAGCGACGCCGCGUGCGGGAAGAAGGCCUUCGGGUUGUAAACCGCUUUCAGGAGGGACGAAGCCACUCGGGUUAAUAGCCCAGAGGGUGACGGUACCUCCAGAAGAAGCCCCGGCUAACUACGUGCCAGCAGCCGCGGUAAUACGUAGGGGGCAAGCGUUGUCCGGAUUUAUUGGGCGUAAAGAGCGUGUAGGCGGCCAGACAGGUCCGUUGUGAAAACUCGAGGCUCAACCUCGAGACGUCGACGGAAACCGUCUGGCUAGAGUCCGGAAGAGGAGUGUGGAAUUCCUGGUGUAGCGGUGAAAUGCGCAGAUAUCAGGAAGAACACCUAUGGCGAAGGCAGCACUCUGGGACGGUACUGACGCUGAGACGCGAAAGCGUGGGGAGCGAACA
rnacentral:rRNA from 1 species